GCCAGUAGUCAUAUGCUUGUCUCAAAGAUUAAGCCAUGCAUGUGUAAGUAUAAGUAUUAUACGGCGAAACUGCGAAUGGCUCAUUACAUCAGUUAUAAUUUAUUUGAUAAUCGAAAGUUACAUGGAUAACCGUGACAAAUUACAGCUAAUACAUGCAGUCAGACCUGGUCCAAGGGUCGUAAUUAUUAGUAUUAAAACCAUUUUCCUACGGGGAGUGUGAUGAAUCAUAAUAAUUGAACGAAUCGCAGAGUUCUGCGAUAAAUCAUUCAAGUUUCUGCCCUAUCAGCUUUGGAUGGUAGUGUAUUGGACUACCAUGGCAGUCACGGGUAACGAGAAUUAGGGUUCGAUUCCGGAGAGGGAGCCUGAGAAACGGCUACCACAUCUACGGAAGGCAGCAGGCGCG
rnacentral:rRNA from 1 species